CGGAUCGCUUCGCAUGACGUCGCACCGCCCGUCGGCUCGGACGGACGCCAUUCUGUUACGUUUUACCGUAAAACCUUUUGUUCUUCAUCAAAUAAAUGCUAAAUUGUGCUCACUAGUGUUAAAAUCUACUUAAUAGUACAGUUCAUGUUUACUUCUAACAGUUCUAAUAAAGGUAUAUUAUAUCGAAAGUGAUUUUAGUUCGUCCCCGAGCGAUAGCCGCGCCACGGCUGGCGCAGGAUGUGUUAGCGUGCGUUGUUGGCGCGCGAUAUUUGAAUGAACGCGAUGACUUACGAUGUCGAUGCCGAAGUGUAAGAAAAUAUUAGAGGACAUUCAACCGUUGAAUGUGAUCAAGGAAGUGCAGAAAUGGCCAGUACUGUACCAAAAAGAUAAUCCGGAGAGAUUGAAUUUCCAUUUUAAAACUAAAGUUUGGUAUGAAGUCGCGAAAAACUUGAUACCGGAGUGGGAACAACUUAGCGAUAGUGAAAAGGAAAUUAAGGUUUCAGAUCUGACCAAGAAAUGGCGCAAUCUCCGCGACACCUUCCGGCGGCAGGUAGAAAUCGAGAAGAAGAUACGCGAGGGAUACCCCAUCAAGAAGAGACGCUACGUGUACUUCAAGCAGAUGCUGUUCCUGCUGCCGCAUGUCGCGCCCAGUGAGGUGCAGGGGGAGGUGGAACCCAAGCUUAAUGAAUUCCUCGACACGCAUAAAGAGAAGAAGACACCUAAAAAACUCAAGCGCAAGCUCCACGACGCGACACCUGCACCGUCGACUUCCAAAAAGGUCAUAGACGAAGAUAAACACUUCCUGAUGUCUCUCAUACCGUCUUUCAAAAAAAUGACUGACGAUGAGAAACUUACUGCGAAGGUAGAGAUAUUGAAGGUGAUCCAGCAGAUCAGGAGUUCGUCCAUAGCAUACACGAGCCCGGACAUAGCGUUCGUGGAGGAGCCGGCGCGGGAGGUCAAGAUGGAGAUGGUGCCUGAGGUGGACGAGCUGGAGAGCGGCAGCAGUGGUGAUAGUGAUGACAAUUCAGAUUUAAUGUGACUUGACUGUUUAGUUAGUAAAUAUUUUGAACAUCUUUCCAUAGUGUUUCCUGGUGUGUCCAUAUGAACACGUUUACGUCUUAGUGCAGGAUUGCUGCUGCUGCGUCCCGUUAAGGCACGGAGCGAUCACCGUUGGGAUAUUGGGUCUGCUUUUAUCUGCAAUGUUUUUCUACGGUUUUACGAGCCACGGCAUGGCGCGAGCCGAAGAGCGAGGCCUGCCCAGGUCGCUCAAUAAGAUAAUGCGGUAUUUCAGCGGCAUUUCAGGAGUACUGCUGGCAGCCGUGCACGUUCUCCUUAUCUUUGCUGGAGUUUACGAAAGUGACUCUCUUUGUGAAGUGUACAUUUGGUUCAUGGUGUUCUUCUGGGUGAUUUUGGUGAUCGUCGCGGCCGCAGUGUGCGUGUGUGCAGUGUUGGAUGACAAUAUUUUGUUCGCCUGUCUAUUUCUUUUGGGUGUAGCCGUUUUUAUAUUGGUGUCGUUUUAUUUCUUGCUUGUCGUUGCGAAUUUUAGAAUGACGUUACCGUAAAUAUAAGAGCAUAAGAUAUUAAAUAAUUUAUACGCU